AGAUCGCCAGAUCGUUGAGCUGCAUUGGCGGGAUUUCGCCGUCUUCGUUUCUCUUUCUUCGCGGACGAACACGCGCUGGGGCUGCAGGCUUGCAGAUCCCUGGUCCUUGACUGGAUAUGCGUUAGGGGCUUGUAGCUCAGUUGGUUAGAGCGCGCGCUUGAUAAGCGUGAGGUCGGAAGUUCAAGUCUUCCCAGGCCCACCACUUUCAUCGAGUGUGCAUUCGUCUUCUGGUUACGGGGCCAUAGCUCAGCUGGGAGAGCGCGUGCUUUGCAAGCAUGAGGUCGUCGGUUCGAUCCCGUCUGGCUCCACCAGAUGGUUUGAUCACCGAGAUCUUGUACCGUCGUCCGCGAAACAUCACUUCGCACUUGCUAGUCCGGAUGGACAGUAAGCUGCGUGAUUUCUGACAUCGUAAAGAGGAGAUCGAUCCGAGUUGGAUCGUGCGGAGAAUAUCUGCGCGAUACUUCAUUAUCUCCGGAUCAUUUCGGCGCUCGCGCGCCUUUCAGUGUAGCUCACAAGGCUGCGGCUGAGAGACGGGCGAGUUGUGAAUGAUCCUUUUAGCGAAGCUUGACCGCCUCGCUAUCGGAACGAUCUUACGAAGCAAGCUGGUCUUUCUAGUCAAUGUCCGGCUGCAGAUAGCGUUCAUCGAGGGCGCGUGCCGCAAGGUAAUUCUGCAGACAACAUUCUGCCGAGUGUGUGGACAUUGAUAAUGAGAGCAAUCAAGUGCCUUAAGGGUGUUCGGUGGAUGCCUUGGCGCU
rnacentral:tRNA from 1 species